ACGUAGGGGGCGAGCGUUGUCCGGAUUUAUUGGGCGUAAAGAGCUCGUAGGCGGCUUGGCAAGUCGGGUGUGAAACCUCCAGGCUCAACCUGGAGACGCCACUCGAUACUGCUAUGGCUAGAGUCCGGUAGGGGACCACGGAAUUCCUGGUGUAGCGGUGAAAUGCGCAGAUAUCAGGAGGAACACCGGUGGCGAAGGCGGUGGUCUGGGCCGGCACUGACGCUGAGGAGCGAAAGCGUGGGUAGCAAACAGGA
rnacentral:rRNA from 1 species